rnacentral:rRNA from 1 species
UACGGAGGGGGCUAGCGUUGUUCGGAAUUACUGGGCGUAAAGCGCACGUAGGCGGCUUUGUAAGUUAGAGGUGAAAGCCCGGGGCUCAACUCCGGAAUUGCCUUUAAGACUGCAUCGCUAGAAUUGUGGAGAGGUAAGUGGAAUUCCGAGUGUAGAGGUGAAAAUUCGUAGAUAUUCGGAAGAACACCAGUGGCGAAGGCGACUUACUGGGACACAUAUUGACGCUGAGGUGCGAAAGCGUGGGGAGCAAACAGG